rfam:Lactobacillus panis DSM 6035 NODE_293, whole genome shotgun sequence.
AUACGAUGUCUGGGGUGCCAAUUGGCUGAGAUAAUACCCAUUGAACCUGACCUGGAUAACACCAGCGGAGGAAGAUUCGGUAAGAUCAAA